rfam:Flagellimonas sp. DK169 scf7180000000004, whole genome shotgun sequence.
AUAGCAGGCCGCCUUAUCGCUGCAAUUUCAAUUAAUUGGAAUUGAAGAGGAAAGUCCGGACACCAAAGUGCAGCAUAGCGGGUAACGCCCGUCCGCCGAAAGGUGAGGACCAGUGCAACAGAAAGCAAGUACAGUUAGGCUGUAGUGAAAUCAGGUAAACUCUAUGCGGUGAAACGUCAUGUAAACCAAUGUUUGAGGGCUGCACGCCCAAAUUGGAGGGUAGGCGGUUGGAACUUUUGGGUAACUGAAAGUCUAGAUAAAUGAUAGGGCCAGACAGAAUCCGGCUUAUGGCCUGCUUUUUUU